CCCAUGAAGUCUGACUGUCUUUUGUUCUCUUUCCAGGAGUCUGGAACGAAACAGGUGGAAGUAGCCAGGGUGUGGACAUUUCUCCAGAGGACACCCUCAGACAGUCAAGGCAAGAAGACGGGUGGGCAUCAGGCCUCAUCUUAGCAGUCAGGGGUGUUGCUCAGUUUCCUAUGGGUGGUGGUGGUGGGGCUGCCUGGGCUCUGCAUUCUCACCUCUCUGCAUGUCCCCAGCCAGGGCUGUUUCCUUUGCUGGCAGAAGAGCUGAACCCUGAGAGACUGCACACAGGCCUUGUGCUCUUCAGAAGCAUGAAGUCAGCCCUGCGGAAUGAGGCAGCUUGGCUGGUGUCCAGCAGCUCUAGAGGUGCUGUUUGUCGGGCUCUGGGUUCUUGCUGGCCUGCUUGCCAAGCUUUUGCAAGGGGCCAGAAGUGCUUUAGUUGCCCCAGCUGUGGGGUUGCAGGGGUGAGGAGGGGCUGGCAUGGGGGGGAUCUUGCCUGCAGAGUGUUGACUCUGUCCAUGUCAUGCCUCUGGAAGCAUCCCUUGCUGAAAUGGGGAGCUUGCUGGGCCAGGUUGCAAAGACACAGGUGGCCUUGGAUGAGGAACCUAACGCCUCUGAGCCACAGCUCUUUCCUCUGAAAAGUGAAGGGACUCCUCAUGUAAAGUGGCAGCCGCUUACAGGUUUAAGACAAGCAGAAAACAUCUCAUUUCCCCUGGUCACAGUGGGGGUAAGAAGAGGGCUGCUGACCCAGUCCUGGGGUGACUUGGUGACUGUUUGCACAAGAUAACUCAGCAUACUGGAAGCGUACACUUCCUUGUUUGAGCCACUUGGAGCUGGGUAUUCUUGUAGCUGACUCGGUUGACAAAAUUGCCUGUGUGUAGACAAGGUCUCAAAGGGAUAGGGGGGAUUGAGGGCAGGUGCUUUAGGGUAUCACUUUCCCCUGCCUGUGGGCUAAAGGCUCCCAGCUGAUAGGAAUAAUUCCUCUACGUGUCUCUCCAGCGGCUCCCACCUCGCCCAGCUGCCCUGUAGGGCUAGGGCUGAUUCGCUCUGCUACUGCAGAGACUCCUGCUGCUAAGAAGUAGCAGGGCUGAGACUUGCACCUUUGUUGUUCUCACUCCAAGCUGGGUGUGUGCCUCUUCAGAUGCACCAGGUCGUUCUUGGGGUAGCUGAGUUUCUGCUAGGGGGGUUGGAAAGGCCAGCAGUGCACAGCAGUGGGAAGGGACAGAGCAAGUACCACUUGGGGCAAAAUGGGUACAUCACAUACCAUGUCAGAUGUCCCCCAAACAAAAUCAAGUCCAUUUAAAAGCACUCUAGUGGGGCACGGUGGCACAUUCCUUUAAUCCCAGCAAUUUGGAGGCUAGGGCAGGAGGGUUACAAGCUCAAGGCUAGUCUGGACAAUUUAGUGAGACUUUGUUUCAAAAUAAAAAGGGUUGAGGGUGUAGCUCAGCAGCAGAGCACUUGCCUAGACUGUGGGAGUCUCUGGGUCUGAUCUCCAGCAUGGCCAAAAACCAAAUAAAAAAUAAAUAAAUUUACCAUAUGACCUGUACUCUUAGAGCAUGUAUGUGCCCAAGAGAAAUGAAAACAGAGGUCCAAAGCCUAGUACACCAGUAUUCUUAGCAGAAUCAUUCAUAAUAGCCUGAAUAUAAUCCACCAACUGAUGAAUAAACAAAGUGUGGUAUAUCCACAGAAUGAACCACUACUCCUCAGCAAUAAAAAGGGAAAACCUAUGGGUAUAUACAACAGGAUGGAUGACACUCAAAAACAUGCUAAGCGAAAGAAGCCAGACACAAAAGAUAUUGUACAGUUCCACUUGUAUGAAAUUUCUAGAAAAGAUAGUGGUAUAGAGUUUGGAAGCAGAUUAGCAGUUGCUUGGGGAUAUUCAUGGUGGGUGGGUGGGGCUGACUGCAGAUGGGCAGGAGGAGCUCCUGGGUUAUUUACGGAAGUGUUCUAAGAUGAAGUGGGGAGGGUGCACAACUGUAUGCAUUUGCACAACUAUAUGCAUUUAUAAAUGGGCCCACUUAUAAUGAGUUUUGUGUGAUAUAAAUU
rnacentral:lncRNA from 1 species